rnacentral:rRNA from 1 species
UGACAAAGUUUAACGGCCGCGGUAUCCUAACCGUGCGAAGGUAGCAUAAUCACUUGUUUUUUAAAUAAAGACUAGUAUCAACGGCAUCACGAGGGUUAUACUGUCUCCUUUCUCCAAUCAGUGAAACUGAUUUCCCCAUGAAGAAGCGGGGAUAAAACUAUAAGACGAGAAGACCCCAUGGAGCUUUAAGCUCAACAACAACUCUGUGUAACUUAUUCUUUAUAACCUACGAGUCCUGUUUGUUAGCUUUAGGUUGGGGUGACCGCGGAGUAUAACUAAACCUCCAUGACAAACGGGAUUUAACCCUUUAUCCAAGAGCUACUGCUCUAAGAAUCAUAAAAUUGAUGUAAAUGAUCCGAUUUUUCGAUCAACGAACCAAGUUACCCUGGGGAUAACAGCGCAAUCCAUUUCAAGAGCUCCUAUCGACAAAUGGGUUUACGACCUCGAUGUUGGAUCAGGGUAUCCUAGUGGUGC